rnacentral:rRNA from 1 species
GACAGAGGGUGCAAACGUUGUUCGGAAUUACUGGGCGUAAAGCGUGUGUAGGCGGCUAUGUAAGUCGGAUGUGAAAGCCCUGGGCUCAACCCAGGAAGUGCACUCGAUACUGCGUAGCUAGAGUACCGGAGAGGUUGGUGGAAUUCUCGGUGUAGAGGUGAAAUUCGUAGAUAUCGAGAGGAACACCGGUGGCGAAGGCGGCCAACUGGACGAGUACUGACGCUGAGACACGAAAGCGUGGGGGAGCAAACAGG